GCCCGAGUAACUCAGUCUGGAUUAGAGUGCCACCCUCCUAAAGGAUUAGGAGCAAGGUGGAAGUCAAAGGUUCAAAUCCUUUCUCGGGCG
rnacentral:tRNA from 1 species